GCUGGGCGCGGUGGCAUGUGCCUGUAAUCCAAGUCACUGGGAGGCUGAGGUUGGUGGAUUAAGUGAGCUGAGGAGCUCUGGGCUGCAGCACGCUACGUCGAACGGGUGUCCACGCUAAGUUCAGUAUCGAUAUGGUGAUCCUGGGGGAGCCCGGGACCACCAGGUUGUCUAAGG
rnacentral:sRNA from 8 species